GACGAACGCUGGCGGCGUGCUUAACACAUGCAAGUCGAACGGGCCUGUCUUCUUUUUUGGGGGGUGGGUUGAGUGGCGAACGGGUGAGUAUCACGUGAGUAACCUGCCCUUCGGUCCUGGAUAACCGCUUGAAAGGGCGGCUAAUACGGGGUGGUCCGGUUGGUCCGCAUGGGCUGGUCGGGAUAGAUUCACUGUUUUUGGUGUUUCGGCGGGGGAUGGGCUCGCGGCCUAUCAGCUUGUUGGUGGGGUGAUGGCCUACCAAGGCGGUGACGGGUAGCCGGCCUGAGAGGGUGGGCGGCCACCCUGGGACUGAGAUACGGCCCAGACUCCUGCGGGAGGCAGCAGUGGGGGGUAUUGCACAAUGGGCGGAAGCCUGAUGCAGCGACGUCGCGUGAGGGAUGGAGGCCUUCGGGUUGUGAACCUCUGUUUCCGGUGGUGAAGGCCCUGUCCGUGUGGUGGGGUUGACGGUAGCCGGGGAUGAAGCGCCGGCUAACUACGUGC
rnacentral:rRNA from 1 species